UCCUUUCCUUCCCUUCACGUCUCCUUUCUCCUCUCCUCGGGUGAUGCCGCCGCCAUCAUGAAUGGCAACUAGAGGUCAGAUCCAGAAGGACACAGAGGAGGAAAUCCCAAAGGACGACUAAAAGAGAAGAAGAAGCAGGAAGAACAAUCCACAAAGUUUCUCAUCACGGGUUCAGAAAUUGCGCAAAGUCAAUGUCGGCAACAAUAUCUACAGGCUUGACUAAAUCAUUUUCCAAACAAGAAUAACAAGAGAGUAGGAAUCUGGAAUAUGAAAGCAUCAAUUUUGAUUGACGUGGCAACCAACCAUUGUUACUAUGACUUAUUGGACUGCCAUGAUGUUUAUUAUAUAAACAAUUUCUUAUGCAGGCUUCAUAAUUUGCAAAAGUACAAGAUCAUCAAAGAACAACGACAGUGUGGAUAAAAAAAGUAUUAUCAACAUGGUAAGAACGAGUAAAAUCAAAAUGAAUGCAGAGACACAACUACUUCACAUGCAGUGAAGCCAUUUUUCUGCGAGUACUACUGUCAUUUACCUUCAAAUAAACAUGCUAGUCAUGAGAAAAUUCCAUUUGUAGGUUACAAAUGUUGCACAAGUUCGAGGUCGGCAACAACAACUGCACAGGGGAGUAAAUGAAAAUGUCAACAAGGUUAAAUCAAAGUUCAUUCACAAACACUGCUAGAAAGCUUGGCAUUGAAGGCAUUUUGCCCCUAUUGCAACCAUUAAUACUCCGAUUAACUAUCCAACAUAUAUGGCCAUCAUGUGAAAAUUCCAUAUGAAGUGUACUAAAGUUGCACAAGAUCGAUGUCAGCUACAAAAGCUACAUGAGUAGCAAAUCCAAAUGUCAACAAGGAGAGUAUGCAAUGUUUUACAGGAGCAAAGGGACCAAAACUUCAGAUUAUCUUAGCUAAAAAAAUAGAUUACUAAUGCAAUGAAAUUCUUAUGCAGGUGCCAAAAAUUACACACAUGGAAUACUAGAAACUGGAAAGUCAAUAUAAAAAUUGUUGUGAUUGGAGAAUAAUAAGAUUUUUGGAAAAUUGCAUUUGCAGGUCUCAGAAGUUGCACAAAUGGAUAGUGAGCAACUAGGACAUUAAGGGAUAGAAAAUCAUAUUGUAAUUAACAACAAGGAAACAGAAGGUGCAAAGUUUGGAGAUCAAGAUUUGCAACUACAAGUGGGAUACAGAAAGGAGGAAGUUGAUGAAUCAACAGAUAACCAAAUGAGACAAGAUGGUUCUAGAUAGACCAUACAAUGCAGAUCCAGAACAAUCGAGAAGUUCAAAAAUUAGUUGAGGACUAAAGAAUAGGAAUGUUAUUGAAGCAAUCAGAAGCAAGUAGAAUUUUACAAAGACAAAGAAGAAAAGGAGAUAAGAAGUACAAACAAGAUUCCAGGAGCAGAAAUAAUCAUUUACAUACUCUAAGUGUUAUGCUAGUCAGAAAAACUUGUAAUAGCUAAGUGAGAACUUGUAAUUUAAGGAAUAGUCGU